rnacentral:snoRNA from 1 species
AGUCCACCUUCCUCCCAGCCGCACGUGGUGUCGGCUGCGGCUGCCCACUGCUGUGUGCGUGCGCGUGGCUUGAAGGGUGGCCGAGA